rnacentral:rRNA from 1 species
UUGGGCCUAAGCGUCCGUAGCUGGUUUAGUAAAUUUCUUGUGAAAUUGUGGGGCUUAACCUUACAGCGUGCAAGAAAGACUGUUAAACUUGGAACCGGGAGGGGGUAGGAGUAUUCCUUGGGGAGCGGUAAAAUGCGAUAAUCCUUGGAGGACUACCUGUGGCGAAGGCGCCUACCUAGAACGGGUUCGACAGUGAGGGACGAAGGCUGAGGGAGCGAUCUGGAUUAGAUACCCAAGUAGUCUCAGCUGUAAACGCUGCGAGCUAUGUGUUGCAUAUUCUUUGAGGAUAUGCAGUGCCUAAGCGAAGGUGUUAAGCUCGCCGCCUGGGAAGUACGGCCGCAAGACUGAAACUUAAAGGAAUUGGCGGGGGAGCACAAGC